rnacentral:lncRNA from 1 species
AGACGGCAGUCAGCAACCGAAGACGGCAGUCAGCAGCCGGCUGCCACCAGGGACGGAGCGGUGACCUGCGAGCCUUGUGAUGGAUGAGCGCUGGGAAGCAGAGAUGGGUGGCUCAGGGAUGGACCCCACCACAUGGAGCCGGAGCACCCGUCGCUCGAUGGCCAACACUGGAGAAAUGGGAGCAGAAACAGCAGGGAACACUGCCGCGCCUCCCUUGUGGAGGAGGCCGUCCUUGGGCCGCUGCACCCCACACUGCCUUGUACAGACACCCCUCGACUGUGGUUCACAGGACGUGGCUGGGACCUGGCUCUAGGAGUAAGCGGCGUCUGUCUCUUGAGGAGCCCAAAGCUCAGGACAGACACACAGUGGGAGGCGUCCGGCCGGGGAGGAGUGGCUCCUCUGCCAGCCGUCUGCAUGGUGGCCUCUCGGGGCUGUCCCCGUGACGCUCUGGCUGGUGGUGCCCGCCCUGAGGUCGCCCGCUUCCCGGCUCUGUGCG